rnacentral:rRNA from 1 species
AGACAAUAGAUACCCGGGUAGUCCACGCCCUAAACGAUGCAUAUUUGGUGUGGGCAGUUCAUUCUGUCCGUGCCGGAGCUAACGCGUUAAAUAUGCCGCCUGGGGAGUACAGUCGCAAGGCUGAAACUCAAAGGAAUUGACGGGGGCCCGGCACAAGCGGUGGAGCAUGUGGUUCAAUUCGACGCAACGCGAAGAACCUUACCUGUGCUCGAACGGCUGGUCAACGGCGGUGGAAACACUGUUACCCGCAAGGGGGUCCAGUCGAGGUGCUGCAUGGCUGUCGUCAGCUCGUGUCGUGAGAUGUUGGGUUAAGUCCCGCAACGAGCGCAACCCGUUGUCCUGUGUUGCCAUCAUUCAGUUGGGAACUCGCAGGAGACCGCCAGCGAUAAGCUGGAGGAAGGUGGGGAUGACGUCAAGUCCUCAUGGCCUUUAUGUCCA